ACAAGUCUAAAAAACUGAUUGAAAUGAUCAAGUUAACACAAUGAAGUAAAGAGUACUGGUAAUCUGCAGCUAUUUUCAUAAUUUCAAGGUAAAAUUCUGAUGUGUGAUUUUCGAGCUUUGCAGAUGUGGAAAUCCAAUGCACUGAUUUCUUAUACACAGAUGCUUUUGGUGUUUUUUGUUGUAAAAUAAAACAAGGCAUUUAUCACUGUUGGAAAUGAUUACAGGUAUUAUUUGUAACACUUUCUAACAUUGUAUGGACAAAGCAAUAAAUCAGUUAAUGGAUAAAAUCAUUUGUAUUACAGAUGCUAUCAACAGCAUGUCUUGUUCAUUUUAUUAAGUUGUCGGCCUUGGAUGAUGAGGUCCAGUUACCAGGAGCACUAGUCUGCAGCUUACUGGUUCCGUCCUGCAGCUCCUCCACGCUGUCCUCCUCUCUACAGACCAAAUCAAGAAAAGGGAACCAGGAAGCUGCUGUGGAUCCUCUGCAGUAUCUGGAGAGGUCAGAGGAACGGUUCUUGGAACAGAUCGGAAGACACCAAGACGUGACCUCUGCCAUGCUCCAGAACAUCCAGAAGAUGAAUGAAAACCUUGGUUGCACUGAUGGGACGCAUGGUGUCGGUGCUGGAGCAACUGUCCCAGAAUUAAACUGCAUUGUUGACUAUUGGCUUUUCUAGAAAAUAAAUCUUUUUUAGUACUUCACCUGUUUUGUAUUUUACUCAUGCACUUUGGGUGAAUAAACAGAAAUUUGUGAUGAGA